UACGUAGGGUGCAAGCAUUAAUCGGAGUUAUUGGGCGUAAAGGGCGCGUAGGCGGGAAUGUAAGUCAGAUGUGAAAUUCCAAAGCUCAACUUUGGAGCUGCAUUUGAAACUACAUUUCUUAUGAGGAUUGGCGGAGAAAGCGGAAUUCCACAAGUAGCGGUGAAAUGCGUAGAUAUGUGGAAGAACACCGGUGGCGAAGGCGGCUUUCUAGCUUAUACCUGACGCUGAGGCGCGAGAGCAAGGGGAGCAAACAGG
rnacentral:rRNA from 1 species